rnacentral:rRNA from 1 species
AUACGGAGGAUGCAAGCGUUAUCCGGAUUUAUUGGGUUUAAAGGGUGCGUAGGCGGGACUGUAAGUCAGGGGUGAAAUACUGCAGCUUAACUGUAGCAUUGCCUUUGAAACUGCCGUUCUUGAGUACAGUUGAGGUAGGCGGAAUGUGGUGUGUAGCGGUGAAAUGCAUAGAUAUACCACAGAACGCCGAUUGCGAAGGCAGCUUACUAAGCUGUUACUGACGCUGAGGCACGAAAGCGUGGGGAUCAAACAGGAUUAGAUACCCUGGUAGUCCACGCUGUAAACGAUGAUUACUGGUUGUUAGCGAUAUAUAGCUAGUGACUGAGCGAAAGCAUUAAGUAAUCCACCUGGGGAGUACGUCGGCAACGAUGAAACUCAAAUGAAUUGACGGGA